rnacentral:rRNA from 1 species
CAGCAGCCGCGGUAAUACCAGCAGCCCAAGUGGUGGUCGCGAUUAUUGGGCCUAAAGCGCUCGUAGCCGGGCCGGUAAGUCCCUUGUGAAAUCGGACGGCCUAACCGUUCGGCGUGCAAGGGAUACUGUCGGUCUUGAGGCCGGGAGACGUCCGAGGUACUCCGGGGGUAGCGGUGAAAUGUUCUGAUCCUCGGGGGACCACCGGUGGCGAAGGCGUUCGACGAGAACGGGCCUGACGGUGAGGGGCGAAGGCUAGGGGAGCAAACGGGAUUAGAGACCCCUGUAGUCCUGUCUCUUAUAC